rnacentral:rRNA from 1 species
ACUACGGGGGGCAGCAGUGAGGAAUAUUGGUCAAUGGUCGGGAGACUGAACCAGCCAAGCCGCGUGAGGGAGGAAGGUACAGAGUAUCGUAAACCUCUUUUGUCAGGGAACAAAGACUGGGACGCGUCCCCGGAUGAGUGUACCUGAAGAAAAAGCAUCGGCUAACUCCGUGCCAGCAGCCGCGGUAAUACGGAGGAUGGGAACGUGAUCCGGUUUUAAUGGGUUUAAAGGGUGCGCAGGCGGUCUGUUAAGUCAGCGGUCAAAGCCCGGGGCUCACCCCCGGCCCGCCGUUGAAACUGGCAGUCUCGAGUUGGAGAGAAGUAUGCGGAAUGCGCGGUGUAGCGGUGAAAUGCAUAGAUAUCGCGCAGAACUCCGAUUGCGAAGGCAGCAUGCCGGCUCCACACUGACGCUGAGGCACGAAAGCGUGGGUAUCGAACAGGAUUAGAUACCCCAGUAGUC